rnacentral:rRNA from 1 species
UACGUAGGUGGCAAGCGUUAUCCGGAAUUAUUGGGCGUAAAGAGCUUGUAGGCGGUUUGUCGCGUCUGCUGUGAAAAUCCGGGGCUCAACCCCGGACUUGCAGUGGGUACGGGCAGACUAGAGUGUGGUAGGGGAGACUGGAAUUCCUGGUGUAGCGGUGAAAUGCGCAGAUAUCAGGAGGAACACCGAUGGCGAAGGCAGGUCUCUGGGCCACUACUGACGCUGAGAAGCGAAAGCAUGGGGAGCGAACAGGAUUAGGUACCCCCCGUA